GUCCACGCCCUAAACGAUGUCAACUAGGUGUUGGGGAGGAGACUUCCUUAGUACCGCAGCUAACGCGUGAAGUUGACCGCCUGGGGAGUACGGUCGCAAGAUUAAAACUCAAAGGAAUUGACGGGGACCCGCACAAGCGGUGGAUUAUGUGGAUUAAUUCGAUGCAACGCGAAAAACCUUACCUACCCUUGACAUGUCAGGAACUUUCCAGAGAUGGAUGGGUGCCCGAAAGGGAACCUGAACACAGGUGCUGCAUGGCUGUCGU
rnacentral:rRNA from 1 species